UACGAAGGGGGCUAGCGUUGUUCGGAAUCACUGGGCGUAAAGGGCGCGUAGGCGGCUUUAUAAGUCGGGGGUGAAAGCCUGUGGCUCAACCACAGAAUUGCCUUCGAUACUGUAGAGCUUGAGACCGGAAGAGGUAAGUGGAACUGCGAGUGUAGAGGUGAAAUUCGUAGAUAUUCGGAAGAACACCAGUGGCGAAGGCGGCCCGCUGGACAGGUAUUGACGCUGAGGUGCGAAAGCGUGGGGAGCAAACAGG
rnacentral:rRNA from 1 species